rnacentral:rRNA from 1 species
GAUGAACGCUGGCGGCGUGCCUAAUACAUGCAAGUCGAGCGAACAGAGGAGGAGCUUGCUUCUCUGACGUUAGCGGCGGACGGGUGAGUAACACGUGGAUAACCUACCUAUAAGACUGGGAUAACUUCGGGAAACCGGAGCUAAUACCGGAUAAUAUAUUGAACCGCAUGGUUCAAUAGUGAAAGACGGUUUUGCUGUCACUUAUAGAUGGAUCCGCGCCGCAUUAGCUAGUUGGUAAGGUAACGGCUUACCAAGGCAACGAUGCGUAGCCGACCUGAGAGGGUGAUCGGCCACACUGGAACUGAGACACGGUCCAGACUCCUACGGGAGGCAGCAGUAGGGAAUCUUCCGCAAUGGGCGAAAGCCUGACGGAGCAACGCCGCGUGAGUGAUGAAGGUCUUCGGAUCGUAAAACUCUGUUAUUAGGGAAGAACAAAUGUGUAAGUAACUAUGCACGUCUUGACGGUACCUAAUCAGAAAGCCACGGCUAACUACGUG